AUGACUAGUGCGAAGUCCUGCUCCUCUGAAUUUCCAUUAAUUCUCCAAGCCAAGACUUGCUGCACUAUAGUGAGCGAAGAACAGUUCCAUCUCGUUUCUGACAGAGGGCAGCAUUUCGUUUUCUACCACAGAGAGGUGUAUUCCUGGAGCUUGCAAAUGACGCCAGCUCAAAAUAAAGAAAAACAAAUUGAAAUGAGGAUUUUAAUCACUGUGAAGGGAAUGAAAGGCUGUGUCAGCGUUUCCAUGCUCGCAGCUUGAGCUCCAGGGAUGCGAGGGGAAUGAAGAUCACAAAUGUCAGCCAAAGAGGAGGCACUCUGGGUGAAACAAGAUGCAGUCUGAACCUUGGUCACAUCACAUCCAAGUCACCUCUGCUUGUUUGGCUUCAAACAGUAUCAGGUUUGUUUUUUUGUGUGUGUGCGUCUUUUUAAAAAUAUAUAUCUUGAUUAGAGGAUGAUUACUUUACAAUACUGUGAUAGCUUUUAGCAUACAUUGGUAUGAGUCGGCCAUAGGCAUACGUGUGUCCCUUCCCUCGGGAACCCCCUUUCCACCUCUCUCCCCACCCAUCCCUCUAGGUUGUCACACAGCACCGGCUUUGAGUGCCCUGCAUCAUACAUCAAACUCCCACUGGCUAUGUAUUUUACAUAUGGUAAUGUAUAUGUUUCAAUGCUGUUCUCUCAAAUCAUCCCACCCUCUCCUCCCACUGAGUCCAAAAGUCCGUUCUUUAUGUCUGUGUCUCCUUUGCUGCUGUACACAUAGGCCCGUCGGUACUAUCUUUGUAGAUUCCAUAUAUAUGCAUUAAUAUACUCUUUCUCUUCUGACUUACUUCACUCUGUAUGAUAGGCUCUAGGUUCAUCCACCUGAUUAAAACUGACUCAAAUGCAUUCCUUUUUAUAGCUGAGUAAUAUUCCAUCGUGUAUAUGUACCACAGCUUCCUUAUCCAUUCAUCUCCUGAUGGACAGCUAGGUUUCUCUCAUGUCCUGGGUAUUGUAAAUAGUGCUGCAGUGAACACUGGGGUACGUGUCUUUUUCAAUUACACUUUUCUCAGGGUAUAUGCCCAGUAGUGGGAUUUCUGGGUCACAUGAUAGUUUUAGUCCUAGUUUUUAAAGGAAGCUCCAUAUUCUUCUCCAUAGUGGUUGUAUCAGUCUACAUUCCCACCAAUGAUCAGGACCAGAUUUAAUGACACUGUGGUGUGCCCUUUAUUUGAAACAGGCUGAUGUGGUGGAGAGAAAGCUUUUGCAAUAGAGGAGAAAAGGUACCA
rnacentral:lncRNA from 1 species